CGCUUAUAAACAACAGAAAUUUAUUUCUCAUAGUUCUGGAGGCUGACAACUCCAAGAUCAAGGUACUGACAAAUCCAGUAUCUGGUGAGGAUGUGUUUCCUGGCUCAUGGAUGGUGCCUUUUCAUUAAGUCCUGAAAGACUAGUUGGAAAGGGAAAGGCAGCUCUCUGAAGCCUCUUUUAUAAGGACGCUAAUCCCAUUCAUGAGGGCUUCGUCCUUUUGACCUAAUCACCUUCCAAAGGCCCCACUUCCUAAUGCCAUCACACUGGGGAUUAGUUUUCAAUAGAUGAAUUUUAGAGCAACACAAACAUUCAGACCAUUUCAAGCCACCUCCACUUGGAGAUACCCUGGGAGAACUUGACAAUCUCCAAUGGAGAAUGCAUUCAAACCACCAUAGAAAUACAAAAAUAGAUGCAGGGAAGAAUUUUUUUUAAAGCCCGUCCUCAGAGAAGACAAUAAAACAGAUAUACUUUCACUCUUCCUCUUUUCUUAUUUUGGAACAUACAGGCCUCGAGUGAGGUGUUUUAAUAGUUGGCUUUAUUUAGAUUUGACUGAAGAUGCAAUUAAAUCCACUCCCAUGUUAGAGUUUUCCACAGCAUUGCAGACACGCCCACAUACAUUAGGGCAACAGGAAAUUACUAAAUGGCAAUGCGCUAGUGUCACUCAUAUGAAAGCAGGAUUGUGUGACCCUAUGUUUAACCUCAACAUACUGUAUUGCAUGCAUACUCACAGCAACUUAGCUUAGGACAGCUACACAAUGAAGUUGUCUUUUAUACAAAGGGAUUGAUUAUUUCUCUUCAUCCAAUUUACUAUUGUUCUUCAAGAAGAGAAAGGACAUGAAAUUAAGAUUCCUGUAUUCUGGGUGUUUAAUACCCAGACUGUUUAAUAUCCAGGUGUUUAAUAUCCACCUCUGACACAUACUGGAACCUUUACAUGUAAGUCAGAUACAGUACUUGGACAGGACCAGGUCCCUGAACUUAAAAGUAAGAUUGGUAGACACUAAAUUGCACCACAUUUGAAAUAUGUUAUUGAAGUGGUGUCCAUACUCACUAACAUGCUUAAAAAUUCUGAUCAAAGCCCAGGUUUAUCUUCUAUAAAAUAA
rnacentral:lncRNA from 1 species